UCCUACGGGAGGCAGCAGUGGGGAAUAUUGGACAAUGGGGGCAACCCUGAUCCAGCCAUGCCGCGUGAGUGAUGAAGGCCUUCGGGUUGUAAAGCUCUUUUGGCGGGGACGAUGAUGACGGUACCCGCAGAAUAAGCCCCGGCUAACUUCGUGCCAGCAGCCGCGGUAAGACGAAGGGGGCUAGCGUUGUUCGGAAUUACUGGGCGUAAAGCGAGUGUAGGUGGUUGUCAUAGUCAGGUGUGAAAGCCUUGAGCUCAACUCAAGAAAUGCACUUGAUACUGGGCGACUAGAGGACCGGAGAGGAUAGUGGAAUUCCCAGUGUAGUGGUGAAAUACGUAGAGAUUGGGAAGAACACCAGUGGCGAAGGCGGCUAUCUGGACGGUUUCUGACACUAAGACUCGAAAGCGUGGGGAGCAAACAGGAUUAGAUACCCUGGUAG
rnacentral:rRNA from 1 species